GACGAACGCUGGCGGCGUGCCUAACACAUGCAAGUCGAGCGGAGAUUGCAGCAAUGCAAUCUUAGCGGCGGACGGGUGAGUAACGCGUGGGCAACCUGCCUUUUACUGGGGGAUAACACUGGGAAACUAGUGCUAAUACCGCAUAAUAACAUUGGAUGGCAUCAUUCGAUGUUCAAAGGAGUAAUCCGGUAGAAGAUGGGCCCGCGUCCGAUUAGCUAGUUGGUGAGGUAAUGGCUCACCAAGGCGACGAUCGGUAGCCGAACUGAGAGGUUGAUCGGCCACAUUGGGACUGAGACACGGCCCAGACUCCUACGGGUGGCAG
rnacentral:rRNA from 1 species